GUAAAUAUUAAGAUAUUAGGUGUCAAUAUGACUUAAUAGGGAAUUAGAUUAAAAUUCUAAGCUACCCCAGUAACCGUAAAACUGACGAAAUCUAAAAAUACCACUGAUUAAUCGGGAAGGUUUGAAAGUAGGAUGAAGUUAAGCCGGGAGAACUGCCUAAGAUCUAACUAAUACC
rnacentral:ncRNA from 1 species